rnacentral:rRNA from 1 species
GAUGAACGCUGGCGGCGUGCCUAAUACAUGCAAGUCGAGCGAACGGACGAGAAGCUCGCUUCUCUGAUGUUAGCGGCGGACGGGUGAGUAACACGUGGAUAACCUACCUAUAAGACUGGGAUAAUUUCGGGAAACCGGAGCUAAUACCGGAUAAUACUUUGAACCGCAUGGUUCAAAAGUGAAAGACGGUCUUGCUGUCACUUAUAGAUGGAUCCGCGCUGCAUUAGCUAGUUGGUAAGGUAACGGCUUACCAAGGCAACGAUGCAUAGCCGACCUGAGAGGGUGAUCAGCCACACUGGAGCUGAGACACGGUCCAGACUCCUACGGGAGGCAGCAGUGGGGAAUCUUCCGCAAUGGGCGAAAGCCUGACGGAGCAACGCCGCGUGAGUGAUGAAGGUCUUCGGAUUGUAAAACUCUGUUAUUGGGGAAGAACAUAUGUGUGUGUAACUGUGCACAUCUUGACGGUACCUAAUCAGAAAGCCACGGCUAACUACGUG